GCCGGGCACGGUGGCACAUCCCUGUAGUCCCAGCUACGGGAGGCUGAGAUGGGCGGAUUGCUUGAGCCCAGGAGUUUUGGGCUGUAGUGCGCUAUGCCGAUCGGGUGUCCGCACUAAGUUCGGAAUCAAUAUGGUGGCCUCUCAGGAGCUGGGGACCACCAGGUUGCCUAAGGAGGGGUGAACUGGCCCAGGUCGGAAAUGGAGCAGGUCGGAAAACUCCCGUGCUGAUCAGUAGCGGAUCAUGCCUGUGAUUAGCCACUGCACUCCAGCCUGGGCAACAUAGUGAGACCCGGUCUCUA
ensembl:misc_RNA Metazoa_SRP Metazoan signal recognition particle RNA